GAUGAACGCUGGCGGCGUGCCUAAUACAUGCAAGUCGAGCGAAUGGAAUGAGAGCUUGCUCUUAUGAAGUUAGCGGCGGACGGGUGAGUAACACGUGGGUCACCUGCCCAUAAGACUGGGAUAACUCCGGGCAACCGGGGCUAAUACCGGAUAACAUUUUGACACGCUUGGUUCGAAAUUGAACGGCGGCUUCGGCGGUCGCGUAUGGAUGGAGCUGCGUCGCAUUAGCUAGUGGGUGAGGUAACGGCUCACCAAGGCAACGAUGCGUAGGCGACCUGAGAGGGUGAUCGGCCACACUGGGACUGAGACACGGCGCAGACUCCUACGGGAGGCAGCAGUAGGGAAUCUUCCGCAAUGGACGAACGUCUGACGGAGCAACGCCGCGUGAGUGAUGAAGGCUUUCGGGUCGUAAAACUCUGUUGUUAGGGAAGAACAAGUGCUAGUUGAAUAAGCUGGCACCUUGACGGUACCUAACCAGAAAGCCACGGCUAACUACGUGCCAGCAGCCGCAGUAA
rnacentral:rRNA from 1 species